AAAUCAUCUUUGGUCACAUUUUAAAGUAAAUCAUGUAGAAAACUACAUUAGUGUAGGCAUGUUACCUCUAGUUCCACUAGGACAGUGAUUCCCAAGCCUGACCUUGUGCCCCUAAGGGUCACCUGACCCCUACUUUGGGAACCACUGCACUAGAAGAACAGUGAAGUGUUGGAAAAUGCUGCUGUAACGCUGGUCUGGUGUUUAACCGCACAUUUCAUAUUUUUCUUUGCCGUCAUCGACGCACCACAUGCGGGUGUUUGUGUACGUGUACCAUGUUGUUUCUGUUUGUAAACUUCUACUUCUGAGGCCAUGUGAAGUCUGUACUGUACAGGAAGCACUUUGCCAGUGUAGUUUCUUACCUGAAAACGUUACUCAUGAGGAGGUUGCUUCUCCCUCGGUAUCAACAGGAACUAUCGUCACUUCACCUGCUCAGGAAUCGUGAAGGAUUUCUGACCGUAGCCUCCCCACGUGUAUUUACCGGGACAUUGUCGACAACUAUUUUAAUAAAUGCUGUAAAUCAAUACACGUAGUGAGGUGCAGGAUAAAGGAAAAAAACAUCUAUAUACUGUAUGUGUCUAGUAGCACCUCUUUUUAUACUGUCUGUAUUGAUGUUAGUUAUUGUGUGGGUGUGGGUGUGAUGUACAGAUUCAUGUCUAGUGCUGCAAAUACUUUUAUGCAAGUAAAGUGUCAGAGAAAUAUAUAUAUAUUCUAUAAAAAGUUGUUUUUAUUUUGCUAAGUGCAGUCUGGUUUUUAGCAAUAAGUAUCCCAUACCCUGUGAUGUAUGGACUCUAGGCAAAGAAUAUUUAGCGAGACGAUAUUUUCGCUGUCGGUUUCAUCGUCUGUCCGUGUGUUUAGCCGCAGUGAUGAUUCGAACAAGAGCUUACAGUACGUGCCUUGUCAAAGAUGUGGCUGUGCAGGUCUGACCUAAACCUUGGCACGUGGAUGCCAAAAGGCAGAAGUUGACCGGAGUGAACAGGUGUGUGUUUGGAUUCCUACGAAGGCUCACGUGUCUUAAUGUUGGUCUCAAAUGAUGUACGUAACUCACGGUUCUCUUCCAUUUGUACCUGCUAACUACUGUGUCUGUGUACGGUGUUCUGCUGCCACUGCUGUGUGAUCAGUAUUGAAAUAAUUUAUUACUCCUAAAUCGUCUGUAAAUGUCAACUUGUUGUACUCUCAACACUAAAACCAUAGUUUUCUAAGAGGAAGUUUCACUUGUUUCAGUCUGCAGUUCCACAUCUAUGGACCAGUGUGUUUAUCCACUGUUACACCCACGUUUUUGAAUAUGAUGUUGUGAUGGUGUUUAAUGGACAUGUAUUGAUGCAUAAACCUUAUCACCACUUCAGUGCAGUGCUCACCACCAUCACUGAGAGAAACUGACUUUGUUCUGAUGUACAGUGACAUCAGUGAAGCUAACUGCCUCCUGCUGUCCGCCUGGAUGAUGACCUCUGGGUCAGAGACGAACGGUGCAAAGCAAUAAAAGUGUGAACAUGGUGAAUUCCUCCUGUCGUCUUUUUGGUUGGUGAGUGAACACUAUCUGUUUGUUGUUACAGGUAAGUCAAAUGUGACACAACUGAUUUCAUGUUGCCAGGAAAUAUUUUGUUUUAAUUGUGAAGUUGUUUCGUUGCUUUCCGGACAUAACCUCCAGGUGGCAGCAGAGUCCUGGUUAACGCACUUCAUAACUACAGGUUGUUGAAUCUGAUAUUGUAGGACCCUAAUAGAAUAAUACUGUACGUAAAAUAGAGUUAUUCGUAAUAUGUUUUUUUAAUCGACUUAAUUUUUAUUGCCUAACAUGUAUAUUUAAGGGCGCGAAAACUUUAAUUUGUAUCCGUAUGAAGAUCAAUCCAGCUAAACGGAAACUAACGUUCACAGCAGGUCAGCUCUGGUGAUCACAUCCAGGUGAUAAUGUGAAGAAAAAGAGACCAUGAGGACAUUACCUUAAAGGUAUGUUUAAUAAUAACAACUAUAACUCUUAAUACACAACAGCGGCAGCCAUUUUGACAGGCUGGAUUUGAGCACAUGUGGUUUUGCCCCACAUGAAUUUGUCAGUUUGAUUCAUUACAAUGUUCUUUCUUUCUCUUCUCUCACCACCAUCUCCUCACUUUGUUCUUUCCGGCUGAUUUCAGCACGGAUCGACUUUUACUAUAGCCAACUCAAGUUAACUUUGUGUUAACACUUUCAAAUGUCCUGUCACAUUUUGUCCAAUCUGCGGUAAAAAAACAAAACAA